rnacentral:sRNA from 1 species
GCCAGGUGUGGUGGCUCACGCCUGUAAUCCUAGCACUUUGGGAGGCUGAGAUGGGUGGAUCACCUGAGGUCAGGAGUUCAAGACCAGCCUGGCCAACAUGGUGAAAGCCCAUCUCUA